rnacentral:lncRNA from 1 species
GGUUUUGCAAGGGUGAGUGCACUUAUGGUUGGUACUCAACAAGUCGUAGGGAACAGUGUAGUGUAAGGCUAACCAAGGUAUGGCUAAGGUUUUUACUGCAUCAGCUUUUAUUUAGUUGGUCAAAUUUUAUUAGCAAUUAAUUAAGUGUAAAUUCAUACCACCCACAAUUAAGCAAGAAACAUUAAUAAAGUAUAAUAGCAUAACCAUGAAUAAGUGACAGCAAUUUAAGUCCAUCUUUCGAUAAUUUUAUUAUGUGAGGGUUUAGAACGCUCUUAACUGUGAGCACGGAUGAUCGAUCAGUUUUACACUUUACAGAGGUUGCACAUUUUUACCCACCAGUCGUGUAAAAGUUCAAAAGAACUUUGGGCCCAACCAUUCGGUGUUUGCAAGGUACCAUACCACACUUUCGAGGUGUGAUUGCAUACGGACGCUACGAGACCUUUACAAAAUUUCCCCAGUUAGGAUAGCUCGCUAAGGUUGCUAAGGUUUCAUGAUCAAUGCAAUGCAUAACCUUCCCUAGUGGGUAUAGUGUCUUAGCUAAACCCACUUCCCAAAAGGACCAAUGUUAUACACCAACUACUGUCUCCCCCUCUUGCCC